GCUUGUCUCAAAGAUUAAGCCAUGCAUGUCUAAGUAUAAACAAAUCUAUACUGUGAAACUGCGAAUGGCUCAUUAUAUCAGUUAUAGUUUAUUUGAUGGUUCUUGCUACUUGGAUAACCGUGGUAAAUCUAUGGCUAAUACAUGCGCAAAGGCCCGACCCUGAAGGGCUGUAUUUAUUAGAUCUAACCAUCAUUUGGUGAAUCAUAGUAACUGAUCGGACCGUGCGUUAGCGCGGUAAAUCGUUCAAGUUUCUGCCCUAUCAGCUUUCGAUGGUAGUGUAUUGGACUACCAUGGCAGUCACGGGUAACGGAGAAUUAGGGUUCGGUUCCGGAGAGGGAGCCUGAGAAACGGCUACCACAUCUAAGGAAGGCAGCAGG
rnacentral:rRNA from 1 species